UGAGUAGGACAAAUAAUCGCAUAUGCCGUUACCGAAAGGAUGCAUAUGAGGAAAGUCCGGGCUUCACAGGGCAGGAUGCCGGAUAACGUCCGGUGGAGGUGACUCCAAGGCUAGUGCAACAGAAAUAUACCGCCCGUCACAUUAUGUGGUGAUGAGAAGCCGAAAGGCUCUUGUAAACGUUGUUUUUACAGCGUUUUGGUAAGGGUGGAAAGGCAGUGUAAGAGACUACCGCCGUAAUGGCAACAUUACGGGCAUAUGUAAACCCCAUCCGAAGCAAGACCGAAUAGAAAAUAUUUAGCGGCCCGCUAAGUUUUCGGGUAGGUUGCUUGAUUCUAUCGGCAACGAUAGAACCAGACAGAUGAUUAUUUAAAACAUAACCCGGCUUAUAGUUCUGCUCAAUCU
rnacentral:RNase_P_RNA from 1 species